AGCACCGGCUAACUACGUGCCAGCAGCCGCGGUAAUACGUAGGGUGCAAGCGUUAUCCGGAAUUAUUGGGCGUAAAGGGCUCGUAGGCGGUUCGUCGCGUCCGGUGUGAAAGUCCAUCGCUUAACGGUGGAUCCGCGCCGGGUACGGGCGGGCUUGAGUGCGGUAGGGGAGACUGGAAUUCCCGGUGUAACGGUGGAAUGUGUAGAUAUCGGGAAGAACACCAAUGGCGAAGGCAGGUCUCUGGGCCGUCACUGACGCUGAGGAGCGAAAGCGUGGGGAGCGAACAGGAUUAGAUACCCUGGUAGUCCACGCCGUAAACGGUGGAUGCUGGAUGUGGGGCCCGUUCCACGGGUUCCGUGUCGGAGCUAACGCGUUAAGCAUCCCGCCUGGGGAGUACGGCCGCAAGGCUAAAACUCAAAGAAAUUGACGGGGGCCCGCACAAGCGGCGGAGCAUGCGGAUUAAUUCGAUGCAACGCGAAGAACCUUACCUGGGCUUGACAUGUUCCCGACAGCCCCAGAGAUGGGGCCUCCCUUCGGGGCGGGUUCACAGGUGGUGCAUGGUCGUCGUCAGCUCGUGUCGUGAGAUGUUGGGUUAAGUCCCGCAACGAGCGCAACCCUCGCCCUGUGUUGCCAGCACGUCAUGGUGGGAACUCACGGGGGACCGCCGGGGUCAACUCGGAGGAAGGUGGGGAUGACGUCAGAUCAUCAUGCCCCUUACGUCCAGGGCUUCACGCAUGCUACAAUGGCCGGUACAACGGGAUGCGACGCGGCGACGCGGAGCGGAUCCCUGAAAACCGGUCUCAGUUCGGAUCGCAGUCUGCAACUCGACUGCGUGAAGGCGGAGUCGCUAGUAAUCGCGGAUCAGCAACGCCGCGGUGAAUGCGUUCCCGGGCCUUGUACACACCGCCCGUCAAGUCAUGAAAGUGGGUAGCACCCGAAGCCGGUGGCCCAACCUUUUGGGGGGAGCCGUCUAAGGUGAGACUCGUGAUUGGGACUAAGUCGUAACAAGGUAGCCGUACCGGAAGGUGCGGCUG
rnacentral:rRNA from 1 species